rnacentral:rRNA from 1 species
AUUGAACGCUGGCGGCAUGCUUUACACAUGCAAGUCGAACGGUAACAGGCCUUCGGGUGCUGACGAGUGGCGAACGGGUGAGUAAUGCAUCGGAACGUACCCAGAGGUGGGGGAUAACGCAGCGAAAGCUGUGCUAAUACCGCAUGUGAUCUGAGGAUGAAAGCGGGGGACCGAGCAGCAAUGUUUGGCCUCGCGCCUUUGGAGCGGCCGAUGUCGGAUUAGCUAGUUGGUGGGGUAAAGGCCUACCAAGGCGACGAUCCGUAGCUGGUCUGAGAGGACGAACAGCCACACUGGGACUGAGACACGGCCCAGACUCCUACGGGAGGCAGCAAUGGGGAAUUUUGGACAAUGGGCGCAAGCCUGAUCCAGCAAUGCCGCGUGCGGGAAGAAGGCCUUCGGGUUGUAAACCGCUUUUGGCAGGAACGAAACGGUGUCCGCUAAUACCGGGCGCUAAUGACGGUACCUGCAGAAUAAGCACCGGCUAACUACGUG